rnacentral:rRNA from 1 species
CAUUGCCGUACUGCCCUGGUGACACCCCAUCUUGUAAGCUAAACAGGAUUGGGCCUGGUUUAGUCCUUGGGUGGGAGACCGCUAAGGGCCAUCAGGUGCAGCAAGGU